UACAUGUGGGGCAAGCGUUGUUCGGAAUUACUGGGCAUAAAGGGUGCGUAGGCGGCUUGUCAAGUCACUGGUGAAAGUUUUCGGCCCAACCGGAAAAUUGCCUGUGAUACUGAUGAGCUUGAGUGCGUGAGGGGUGGGGGGAACGAGCAGUGUAGCGGUGAAAUGCGUAGAUAUUGCUCGGAAGGCCGGAGCCGAAGGGGCCCCACUGGUACGCAACUGACGCUGAGGCACGAAAGCGUGGGGAGCAAACAGG
rnacentral:rRNA from 1 species